GAAAUAAAUUUAAAUUGAACUUCUAAUUCAAUGUAUAAUGAUCAAUAUAAUCAUUUUAUUUCA
rnacentral:tRNA from 1 species